rnacentral:rRNA from 1 species
UACGUAGGGGGCUAGCGUUGUCCGGAAUCAUUGGGCGUAAAGAGCGUGUAGGCGGCUUGGUAAGUCCGCUGUGAAAGUCCAGGGCUCAACCCUGGAAUGCCAGUGGAUACUCGUCAAGCUAGAGUCCGGAAGAGGCGAGUGGAAUUCCUGGUGUAGCGGUGAAAUGCGCAGAUAUCAGGAGGAACACCAAUGGCGAAGGCAGCUCGCUGGGACGGUACUGACGCUGAGACGCGAAAGCGUGGGGGAGCAAACAGGAUAGAAACCC